CACGCCGUAAACGAUGAAUACUAGGUGUCGGGCGUCAAAACUCGGUGCCGCAGCUAACGCAUUAAGUAUUCCGCCUGGGGAGUACGCACGCAAGUGUGAAACUCAAAGGAAUUGACGGGGACCCGCACAAGCAGCGGAGCAUGUGGUUUAAUUCGAAGCAACGCGAAGAACCUUACCAGGUCUUGACAUCCUCUUGCAAGGGCCCUAGCCGGCCCCCUCCUUCGGGACAAGAGAGACAGGUGG
rnacentral:rRNA from 1 species